rnacentral:rRNA from 1 species
GAUGAACGCUGGCGGCGUGCCUAAUACAUGCAAGUCGAGCGAACGGACGAGAAGCUUGCUUCUCUGAUGUUAGCGGCGGACGGGUGAGUAACACGUGGAUAACCUACCUAUAAGACUGGGAUAACUUCGGGAAACCGUAGCUAAUACCGGAUAAUAUUUUGAACCGCAUGGUUCAAAAGUGAAAGACGGUCUUGCUGUCACUUAUAGAUGGAUCCGCGCUGCAUUAGCUAGUUGGUACGUUAACGGCUUACCAAGGCAACGAGGCAUAGCCGACGUGAGGGGCGGAUCGGCCACACUGGAACUGAGACACGCUCCAGGCGCCUGCGGGACGCCGCAGUAGGGAAUCUGCCGCAGUGGGCGAAAGCAUUGCGGAGCAGCGCCGCGUGAGUGAUGAAGGUCUUCGGAUCGUAAAGCUCUGUUAUUAGGGAAGAACAGAUGUGUAAGUAACUGUGCACAUCUUGACGGUACCUAAUCAGAAAGCCCCGGCUAACUACGUG